AACUGCUGAGAAGGUGGUGGGCUGGGAGAGUCGUUAGUAUGCUGGAGGAAAUGCUUAACGUUUUUCGCCCGUCGCUACGUUCUGAGUUCAAAUUCCGCCGAGGUCGACUUUGCCUUUCAUCCUUUCGGUGUCGAUAAAUUAAGAACCAGUUACGCACCUGGUCGAUGUAAUCGACUUAAUCCUUUUCUCU